rnacentral:rRNA from 1 species
GACGUAGGUGGCGAACGUUAUCCGGAAUCAUUGGGCGUAAAGGGUGCGUAGAUGGCAUGAUAAGUUAUUAGUGGGAAAUCGAGGCUCAACCUCGUGGAAGCUAGUAAUACUGUUUUGCUUGAGUACAGAAGAGGUUAACGGAACUCCAUGUGGAGCGGUAAAAUGCGUAGAUAUAUGGAAGAACACCAAUAACGGCGAAGGCAGUUAACUAUUCUGUUACUGACAUUGAGGCACGAAAGCGUGGGGAGCGAACAGG